GCAGCCUGACCAGCCAUGCCGCGUGCAGGAAGACGGCCCUAUGGGUUGUAAACUGCUUUUGUACCGGAAUAAACCCCCAGACGUGUCUGGGGCUGAAUGUACGGUAAGAAUAAGGAUCGGCUAACUCCGUGCCAGCAGCCGCGGUAAUACGGAGGAUCCAAGCGUUAUCCGGAUUUAUUGGGUUUAAAGGGUGCGUAGGCGGCCAAUUAAGUCAGGGGUGAAAGACGGUAGCUUAACUAUCGCAGUGCCUUUGAUACUGAUUGGCUUGAAUCCACUUGAGGUAGGCGGAAUGUGACAAGUAGCGGUGAAAUGCAUAGAUAUGUCACAGAACACCAAUUGCGAAGGCAGCUUACUAAAGUGGCAUUGACGCUGAGGCACGAAAGCGUGGGGAUCAAACAGGAUUAGAUACCCUGGUAGUCCACGCCCUAAACGAUGAACACUCGAUGUUGGCGAUAUACGGUCAGCGUCUAAGCGAAAGCGUUAAGUGUUCCACCUGGGGAGUACGCCCGCAAGGGUGAAACUCAAAGGAAUUGACGGGGGCCCGCACAAGCGGAGGAGCAUGUGGUUUAAUUCGAUGAUACGCGAGGAACCUUACCCGGGCUUGAAAGUUAGUGAAUGUGACAGAGACGUCACAGU
rnacentral:rRNA from 1 species